UACUGGCAUGCCCAAGAAUGACCAAGACUAAAUCAUUCCCUCAGGAUUCUUACAAGCAUUUGCUAAAGGAAACCCUCCAGGAAAAUAGAGAAUUCUACAAAAAGAGCUCUUUUCGGCUAACAUUUCUGACGCUUGUGAAGAGUUGGAACCAUCAAGUUAUCAAAUUAAUCAUGUGUCAUCACCUGCUAACAUGAAACAUCAAGACACAGACCCACACCAGAGGAAUGACCAUAUGAAUGCAGAG